rnacentral:rRNA from 1 species
AACGAGAGACGAAGAGCUUGCUCUUCAAAUCGAGUGGCGAACGGGUGAGUAACGCGUGAGGAACCUGCCUCAAAGAGGGGGACAACAGUUGGAAACGACUGCUAAUACCGCAUAAGCCCACGGCUCGGCAUCGAGCAGGGGGAAAAGGAGCAAUCCGCUUUGAGAUGGCCUCGCGUCCGAUUAGCUAGUUGGUGAGGUAACGGCCCACCAAGGCGACGAUCGGUAGCCGGACUGAGAGGUUGAACGGCCACAUUGGGACUGAGACACGGCCCAGACUCCUACGGGAGGCAGCAGUGGGGAAUAUUGCACAAUGGGGGAAACCCUGAUGCAGCGACGCCGCGUGGAGGAAGAAGGUCUUCGGAUUGUAAACUCCUGUUGUUGAGGAAGAUAAUGACGGUACUCAACAAGGAAGUGACGGCUAACUACGUGCCAGCAGCCGCGGUAAAACGUAGGUCACAAGCGUUGUCCGGAAUUACUGGGUGUAAAGGGAGCGCAGGCGGGAGAACAAGUUGGAAGUGAAAUCCAUGGGCUUAACCCAUGAACUGCUUUCAAAACUGUUUUUCUUGAGUAGUGCAGAGGUAGGCGGAAUUCCCGGUGUAGCGGUGGAAUGCGUAGAUAUCGGG